UGGACCAAGCUGUUAAGCGUGCUUUGCAAAUAAUAAGAAGAAACGACCCGAUGCUUAUCAAGGUGGUACUUGCUCGUAGCACCAGAGUUGUGACAGCUGCGGACAUUGAUCCUUUAACAUGGUUAGCUUGCUUAAAGGUUGAAGGAGAAAAUGCAUAUCA